ACUCAAAUGAAUAGACGGGGACCCGCACAAGCGGUGGAUGAUGUGGAUUAAUUCGAUGCAACGCGAACAACCUUACCUACCCUUGACAUGUCUGGAAGGCUGCUGAAAGGCGGCUGUGCCCGAAAGGGAACCGGAACACAGGUGCUGCAUGGCUGUCGUCAGCUCGUGUCGUGAGAUGUUGGGUUAAGUCCCGCAACGAGCGCAACCCUUGUCCCUAGUUGCUACGCAAGGGCACUCUAGGGAGACUGCCGGUGACAAACCGGAGGAAGGUGGGGAUGACGUCAAGUCCUCAUGGCCCUUAUGGGUAGGGCUUCACACGUCAUACAAUGGACGGUACAGAGGGUCGCCAACCCGCGAGGGGGAGCCAAUCCCGAUAAAGCCGUUCGUAGUCCGGAUCGCAGUCUGCAACUCGACUGCGUGAAGUCGGAAUCGCUAGUAAUCGCGGAUCAGCAUGUCGCGGUGAAUACGUUCCCGGGUCUUGUACACACCGCCCGU
rnacentral:rRNA from 1 species